UCCAUUGUAGUCUAGUUGGUUAAGAUACUCGGCUCUCAAUCGAGAGACCCAGUGGAG
rnacentral:tRNA from 1 species